UUUGGUGGUAGAGUUGGCGGUGCUGGUGUUACCGGCGGCGUAGGAUAAUACGGUGGUGUAGGGGUAACAGGAGGCUUUGGUGGUAGAGUCGGAGGCUUGAUCACCGGUGGUUUUGGUGUCGGUGUUACCGGAGGGGUAGGAUAAGGCGGCGGAGUUGGGGUAACAGGAGGCUUUGGUGGUAAAGUUGGUGGGGAAAUGAUUGGUGGUUUGGGUACAUAAGGUGGUGGCUUUACAGUAGGAGGCUUUGGUGGUAAAGUUGGUGGGGAAAUGAUUGGUGGUUUGGGUACAUAAGGUGGUGGCUUUACAGUAGGAGGUUUUGGUAUAUGGGGUGGAUAUACAAUUGGAGGCUUGACAACCGGUGGUUUGGGUACGGUUGGUGGUUUGACAACGGGUGGUUUGGGUACAUAAGGUGGCGGCUUUACAGUAGGAGGUUUUGGUACAUGGGGUGGAUAUACAAUUGGAGGCUUGACAACCGGUGGUUUUGGUACGGUUGGUGGUUUGACAACGGGUGGUUUGGGAACCACCGGAGGUUUGGGUGGCUUAGGUGGGUAGUGUUUGGGAGGUUUAUGGUGAGAGGGUGGCUUUACCUUAGGAGGGUGUUUGGGUGGGAACUUAGGAGGAUGCUUCGGUGAAGGUGGAGUUGG
rnacentral:lncRNA from 1 species